GUAGCGAAAUUCCUUGUCGGGUAAGUUCCGACCUGCACGAAUGGCGUAAUGAUGGUCACGCUGUCUCCAUUUAGAACUCAGUGAAAUUGAAUUUGCUGUGAAGAUGCAGUGUAUUUACGGCUAGACGGAAAGACCCCGUGAACCUUUACUAUAACUUCACAUUGAAUAUUGAAAAUUUUUGUGUAGGAUAGCUGGGAGACGUUGAUAUAUAAACACAAGUUUAUAAGUAGUCAAUCUUGAAAUACCAGUCUAAGAUUUUUGAUAUUCUAAUAUAUUUUUGUAAUCCAUUAUAUAAACAAUGUGUGGUGGGUAGUUUGACUGGGGCGGUCUCCUCCUAAAAAGUAACGGAGGAGUACAAAGGUACUCUCAAUACGUUUGGAAAUCGUAUGUUGAGCAUAAGAGCAUAUGAGUGCUUAACUGUAAGAUAGACAUAUCAAACAGAUACGAAAGUAGGUUCUAGUGAUCCGAUAAUCCUGAAUGGAAAGGUUAUCGCUCAACGAAUAAAAGGUACUCCGGGGAUAACAGGCUAAUACUGCCCAAGAGUUCAUAUCGACGGCAGUGUUUGGCACCUCGAUGUCGGCUCAUCACAUCCUGGGGCUGGAGUUGGUCCCAAGGGUAUGGCUGUUCGCCAUUUAAAGUGGUACGCGAGCUGGGUUUAGA
rnacentral:rRNA from 3 species